AUUGAACGCUGGCGGCAGGCCUAACACAUGCAAGUCGAGCGGAUGAAGGGAGCUUGCUCCUGGAUUCAGCGGCGGACGGGUGAGUAAUGCCUAGGAAUCUGCCUGGUAGUGGGGGAUAACGUCCGGAAACGGGCGCUAAUACCGCAUACGUCCUGAGGGAGAAAGUGGGGGAUCUACGGACCUCACGCUAUCAGAUGAGCCUAGGUCGGAUUAGCUAGUUGGUGGGGUAAAGGCCUACCAAGGCGACGGUCCGUAACUGGUCUGAGAGGAUGAUCAGUCACACUGGAACUGAGACACGGUCCAGACUCCUACGGGAGGCAGCAGUGGGGAAUAUUGGACAAUGGGCGAAAGCCUGAUCCAGCCAUGCCGCGUGUGUGAAGAAGGUCUUCGGAUUGUAAAGCACUUUAAGUUGGGAGGAAGGGCAGUAAGUUAAUACCUUGCUGUUUUGACGUUACCAACAGAAUAAGCACCGGCUAACUUCGUG
rnacentral:rRNA from 1 species